AAGUCAUUGGGCGAGACAUCCAACCCUCUCUAGUCCCCACGCAUGAGGAUAGGGUGACACUCGAAUCUCAGUCUCCGCAGAGAACUCAACACACUAUCAUAUCGCAAUACGAACACCAUCGGUUCAACAAAAAUUCUAAGGAAAUGACAGAACACUUGCUCUCAUAACUUCACCAUCAUGACCAUACACAUAUCACCCGCAUAUUCAAAGUCAACCAAAUUCAUUGACCAACAAUUAAUUAAAAUACUCAAAUAAUUAAAUCAAUCAAUUUUUCACAAUAAAAAUAAUUUAAUUAUUUUCCUACUUGCGCACCCCCGUGAAAUUAUUAAUCUCACCCUCCCAUUCCAUAAGAACCAAUAUUUCUAAUGCAGCCCCGCUAUUACUAAUUCACAACAUAAUAGAAAAAAAUAUAAUUCUAUAAAGUACCCCUUAAACUUCUAAAUACACUCCCUUUCUUAAACCUACCAACUCAAGUGGUCCCUACAACUAUUUUUUACUUUAGAAACACACUUUAAUUUUCUUUCACCAAGUGGACCCCACUUAAAAUAUUCAUUUUUCACUAAAAAAUUAUCUUUCUCUCUCCUACUCUCCACUUUUACGUAACCAAACUUUCUCUCCCUUCUCUCUUUUGCUUUUAUUUUCCAUACACAAAAUUUCAUUCACUCAUCUUUUCUCACAUGGACCCCACUUCCCACUUUAUUUGACUUUUCAAACUAAACCAUUCCUUCCUCUCAACAAAGUCACGUAACCCCUGCACCUCACUUGGUUCUCCCUGCACCUCCUUUUAAUUUUCUUUCAAUUUUAUAUUUCCAAUUAUAACCCUUUAGAAUUAUUUUAAUUUAAAAAUAAAGCUGACCUAUUACUCAUUUAAUGAUAAAAUAAGCAACCAUUCCUCUACUGUGCUGCAUCUCACAAACCCUACACCUCCCUUUCUUUUUCUCCUCUCUUCUUCUAGCAGUCAUCUUCUGCUUC
rnacentral:lncRNA from 1 species